rnacentral:rRNA from 1 species
AUUGAACGCUGGCGGCAGGCCUAACACAUGCAAGUCGAACGAGUGGCGUACGGGUGAGUAAUGUAUGGGAAACUGCCUGAUGGAGGGGGUUAACUAAUGGAAACGGUAGCUAAUACCGCAUACCAUCGGAUGUGCCCAGAUGGGAUUAGCUAGUAGGUGGGGGAAAGGCUCACCUAGGCGACGAUCCCUAGCUGGUCUGAGAGGAUGACCAGCCACACGGGAACUGAGACACGGUCCAGACUCCUACGGGAGGCAGCAGUGGGGAAUAUUGGACAAUGGGCGAAAGCCUGAUGCAGCCAUGCCGCGUGUAUGAAGAAGGCCUUCGGGUUGUAAAGUACUUUCAGCGGGGAGGCGUUACCAUCAGAAGAAGCACCGGCUAACUCCGUGCCAGCAGCCGCGGUAAUUC